rnacentral:rRNA from 1 species
UAUAUUAUUUUUUGUUGUUGAAAAAAUUAAAAAAAAAUUAUAAGUUAUAAUAAUUAAAAUUCUAAAAAAGGAUUAUUUGUUUUUUAGUUAAAUAUUAUAAAUAUAAUGGUUUAAAAAAGAGAAAUUUUGAUUAGAAUAAUAUUAGUUUUUUUUUAUAUUUUUUAUAAUAAUUGUUUAUUUUUUAUAAUUAUUUUUUUUUAUAAAAAUAAUUUAAUUAUUAUUAUUUUAUUUAAAAAAAUUAAUUAAAUUAAUUUUUUUGUUAAAUUAGUUUAAAUAUAAAAUGUUUUUUAAAAUCUGAUGAAUUUUUGGUUUUAAUUUUUUAUUUCUGCUCAGUGAUUUAUUGAAUGGUAUCUUUAGCGUGAUUGAUCAAAGGUAGCAUAAUAAUUUGUUUUUUUAUUGAAUUCUGGGAUGAAGAAUAAAAUUAUAUUUUUUUUAAUUUUAUUUUGAAAAAGUUUUUAUUUAUUUAAAAAUUAAUAAUUAAAUUAAAACUAAGAUUAGUCUUUAGAAAUUAUGUUUUUUAUUAUUUAAUUAGGGUAAUUACUUUUUUAUUAUUUUUUUCUUUAAAAUUAAAAAUAAUUUCUCUAGAGUUAACAGGAAUAAAAAUUAAUUUAUUUUUUUUACAUCGUUGUUGUUUUAUUUUUUUUUUAAUUAUAGUAUUUUUAAAAAAAAAGACUGUUCUUCUAUUAAAAAUUACGUGAAAUUAGUUUAAAUCGUUGUGAAAUAGAUUUGUUUAUCUAGUUUAUUUGUUAUAUUUUUAAGGUGUACGAAAGGAUAAUUAAUCUUAAUUAA